GUGCUUGCUUUGGCAGCACAUGUACCAAAACUGGAAGCUACAGAGAAGAUUAGUAUGGCCCCUGCACAAAGAUGACAUGCAAAAUCAUGAAGCGUUCCAUUAUUUA
rnacentral:snRNA from 1 species